rnacentral:rRNA from 1 species
GACGAACGCUGGCGGCGUGCUUAACACAUGCAAGUCGAGCGGAAAGGCCCUUCGGGGUACUCGAGCGGCGAACGGGUGAGUAACACGUGAGCAACCUGCCCCAUGCUUUGGGAUAACCCUCGGAAACGGGGGCUAAUACCGAAUAUUCACUACAGGUCGCAUGGUUUGUGGUGGAAAGUUUUUCGGCGUGGGAUGGGCUCGCGGCCUAUCAGCUUGUUGGUGGGGUAAUGGCCUACCAAGGCGACGACGGGUAGCCGGCCUGAGAGGGCGACCGGCCACACUGGGACUGAGACACGGCCCAGACUCCUACGGGAGGCAGCAGUGGGGAAUAUUGCACAAUGGGCGGAAGCCUGAUGCAGCGACGCCGCGUGAGGGAUGACGGCCUUCUGGUCGUAAGUUCUGUUGUGGGGGAAGAAGGUCAGUC